GCCGCGCGAACGCGUACCCCCUCUAUCACAAAUUACGACGUUCACUCUUCCACUUGGGAAGAUGAUAAGUCAACGCGCCCACCAAGUGCAAUGUGGGCCAUUGGCUUAGGCCACGGGCCUUGUUGA
rnacentral:rRNA from 1 species